AUGAAAAAACAGAGGAAAAUUUUAUGGAGAAAAGGAAUCCACUUAGCCUUUUCUGAGAAAUGGAAUACUGGGUUUCGAGGCUUUAAGAAGUUUUGCUUUCACCAACACUUGUGUGUUCUGAAAGCCAAGUUGGGAAGGACAAUUAUUUGGAGCAGGCAGUUGAGGCACUUACAGUGCAGAAAGAAGGUCCUUCAUAUCCAGAAAACGUGGAUCCAGGAUGAACCUCUUUUUGCUAAGACAGAGUCCAAUGUGGCUGCUCAAAAUGUUAGUACUUUUUCCUCUAAAGUGAAUAGAAAAGACACUAAACACUUCAUUUCCUCUUCAAGGACCCUCCUGAAACUCCAAGCAGAGAAGUUGCUGUCAUCAGUAAAGAACUCUGAUUAUGAAUACUGUGGAGAUAAAAGUUUCUUGAAGGUGGUUGCUGACUUACCAACAAAUAGUGUUUUAGGUCAGGCCAGUGGUCACAGACCUAGAACAGAGCUGCAAGCUUCUGACUUUCCCAUGAAGUUCAAUGGGGAGAACCAAAGUUCAUGUGAGAGUGGCACAAUUGUGGUCACCUUGAGCAACCAUAAGAGAAAGCGCUUUUGUUAUGGCUGCUACCAAGGACUGGAGCACCACAGGAAUGGGGGAUCUCUAAUUCCAAAAAAGUUCCAACUUAACCAACACAGAAGAAUUAAAGUGUCUCCUCUUAUGAUGUAUGAGAACUUAUCCAUGAUUAGGUUUCGGUACAGGAUUCUCAGAUCUCAGCACUUCAGAACAAAAAGCAAAAUUUGCAAGCUUAAAAAAGCCCAGCGAAGCUGGUUGCAGGUCACUGGGGACCAUCAAGAGACCCUUAGGGAGAACGGUGAGGGUGGCAGUUGCAGCCCAUUCCCUGCCCCAGAACCUAAAGACCCUUCUUGUCAGCGCCAACAAGUGUACUUCCCAGAUAUGGACAGCAAUGCUGUGGGAAAGGGGAAGAACUCUCAUGUGCCUGAUGGCCACACUAAAGGAAGCCCUUUCUUGGGCAAGGAGCUUAGUUUAGAUGAGGCAUUCUCUAACCAACAGAAUGGCAGUGCCACAUACACCUGGGACCAGUCACCCUGUUCCUCUCCUAAGUGGGAGUGUACAGAACUGAUUCGUAACAUCCCCCUUCCAGAAUAUCAUUCUAGUAACAUGUUUAUCUCAGAAACGGAAAGAGAAGUUACGACUCUGGGUCAGGAAAAUCGGACAAGUACUGUCAGUGAAAACAGAGUAAAACUGUCAAUGUCUGGGGCAGAUCAGUCUGUGAGUGGAGUAGACCAGCCAGUGUCCAAAGAGACUGUCCAGAAUGAGAUCUCAUGCCAGAUGGAUGAGGAUGGAUCUCUUAAGCAGAACAUUCUUAGUUCUAAGUUGUUGGACCACCCUUACUGUAAAAGCCCACUGGAGGCUCCUCUGAUGUGCAGUGGGCUCAAACUAGAAAAUCAAGUGGGUGGUGGGAAGACCAGUGAAAAAGCAUGUCCAGUGGAUGAUGAACAGCUGUCAGUCUGCCUUUCUGGAUUCCUAGAUGAGGUUAUGAAGAAAUAUGGCAGUUUGGUCCCACUCAGUGAAAAAGAUGUCCUUGGAAGAUUAAAAGAUGUCUUUAAUGAAGAUUUUUCUAAUAGAAAACCAUUUAUCAAUAAGGAAAUAACAAACUAUCGAGCAAGACAUCAAAAAUGCAACUUCCGUAUCUUCUACAAUAAGCACAUGCUGGAUAUGGAUGAUUUGGCAACCUUGGAUGGUCAGAAUUGGCUGAAUGACCAGGUCAUUAAUAUGUACGGUGAGCUGAUAAUGGAUGCAGUCCCAGACAAAGUUCACUUCUUCAACAGCUUUUUUCAUAGACAGCUGGUAACCAAAGGAUAUAAUGGAGUAAAAAGAUGGACUAAAAAGGUGGAUUUGUUUAAAAAGAGUCUCCUGUUGAUUCCCAUUCACCUGGAAGUCCACUGGUCUCUCAUUACUGUGACACUCUCUAAUAGAAUUAUUUCAUUUUAUGAUUCCCAAGGCAUUCAUUUUAAAUUUUGUGUAGAGAAUAUAAGAAAGUAUUUGCUGACUGAAGCCAGAGAAAAAAAUAGACCUGAAUUUCUUCAGGGCUGGCAGACUGCUGUUACAAAGUGUAUUCCACAGCAGAAAAAUGACAGUGACUGUGGAGUCUUUGUGCUCCAGGUUAACGUUACUUGGCGAUCAGAAGUGGCAUCCAAAGAAGAUCCCCAACAACUCCAAGGCUUGUGAGUGAACGGGUACUGGUACCCACCGAGCCCAUUAAGCUCAGUGCUUGCUUGCUAGCCCUAGAGUUUGAGGGUUGAACCAGGAUCUUUCUCUUUCAGUUAAAAGGACCAGGAUGGAAUGGAAAACCAUGUCCACUCCAGAUUUAGUUAAUUUGGCAAACCAGCUUCUCCACACCAUAGGUGAGUCACCUAAAAGAAAGACUGCUAAAAUUCUCAACUUUCAACUUUGGCAAAUGAAGACCCCUAAACAAAACCAAAAACCUAGUUGUUGCUAUUGUUGCAAAGAGCCUGGAUAUUACAAAAAAGACUGUUACAAAUUAAAGUGCCUCAGGCCCUUCAGCUUGUUAGCCAGACUUUCCAAUGUCCUCCUAGUUCCCAAUGAUGGAAUACCAAGCACUAUUUGGCUCUUCCAAUCCUCCCUCUUAAUCAGCUCAGAAAAACCACCCUCCCAGAUUAGGAAUAGGCCUCUUUGUCCUGACUGACACUGGGCUACAUUUCCUGGGCUCAAGCCCACUGCUAUAACGCAACCCGUACUCAGAACACUAAAACACUUCAUAUAGUGAGGUGUGUCAUAAACCCCAACAAGUUCCUGUCUCUGAACCUACUCCCUUUUGUUUAGGCCCUUUGAGAGAUACCCUUUCUCCUUAGUUCCUCUGCCCCUAUUAGUUUAUUGGGCCAAGAGUUCUUUAAAUAAAGAACAUGCCAGCAUUUCUCCCAAAAGGUAAAUAAUUCUAGAAUUUGACAGUAGUCAAAAUUAUCAACCAGAGUAAUUAAAUGACCCCUAAACAUCUUUGAUUUGCUCCAUCUCUGAUGGCACUAUAGCCAGUCUGAGGGCACUGACCAUUUGUUUCUAUGGAUCAGCUACCAUCCUAUUUAUUGGCAAGAUCUUCAACUGCUAUUGGCAGAAUCCAUAGUGCACCUCCCAUUAAGAUUCAAAUAGAUCCCUUAAAAACCUCUCCCAGAAUUAAUCAAGCCCUUCAAAGCAUCAAGCCCAUGAUAGAAAAGUACAGUGCUCAAGGCCUCUUUAUCCCCUGUAUAAAUUACACUGUUAUCCUUCAGCACCUUGUUGUUCCUGACCCCACAAGCUGCUGACACCAUUCCCACUGAAAGCAUAUUUUUCACUGUAAUUUAUCUAUGCAGUGCAUUUCAGUAUUCCACUUGAUAAGGAUAGCCAGGAUCAUUUUGCUUCCACUUGAGAAGAACAGAAAUACAACGGGACAGUAAUGCCCCAAGGUUUCACAGAAGGUCCCUAUUUCUCACAAGCUUUAAAAGCUGAUUUGGAUGAUGCAUAAUUUUCUGUAGUCUCUACUUUGUACAAUAUCUAGAUGAUUUGCUUCUCUGUUCCCCUUCUCAAAACUCUCCAUAGGAAGACAACAUUCACCUGUUAAAAAUUUUAGAUUUAAGGGGACAUAAAGUCUCCAAAGAAAAACUGCAUUUUGCUUAUAUUCAGGUCUGGCACCUAAGGCAUCUGAUCUCAGAAUAGGAUUAUAUGUGGAUCUAGAUGAAACCCCUUAACGACUACUUAACACUAAUGGAUCACCUUUUGAUUUUCCAUGACAAUUUACAGGAAACUCCUUGUUAAACAAUGUAGCUUUUUCAUGGUUUACUGAUGAUUCUUAUUUAAAGAAUUUAAAUGGUAAGUAUCAUGCAGUACAGUAUUGCAACUACUUUUGAAAUUAUUGAGCCAGCACCUCUACUUUUGGCUACUUUGGCCCAGCAAGCUGAGCUUUAUGCCCUUAACUGAGGCUUGUACCUUAAGCCAAGGGUAAACUGCAAACAUUUAUACUGAUAGUCAGUAUGCCUUUGGGGUAGCUCACAACAUUGGGGGUAUUAUGGGAACAAUGAGGUUUCUUAGCUCUAAUGAGGAUAAAAUUAGAAAUGGCUCAUAUGUUCAAAAUUUAUUAGGUGCAGUGCUUUUGCUGUUGGCUGUGACUAGUAAGGUUCCUAGGUAUUCUAGACUUGAUUCCCUGGAGGUCAAAGGACCCCACCUUGCUGAUAUUUCUAUCUAAAACACUGCUCUCAAGGUAAUAAAUAUCCAAACCUCUGUCAUGCUCCAAAAGGAUGUUCUCCCAAAUGAUAAUUCAGAAAAACUGAAAAAUAUACACAAUUGGCCCUGGAAAUGAAAAACAGUAUUGGAAAUCUAGAAAUUGUUGGUUUAAUAAAAAGAGAAAACUUUCGUUUGAAACAAACAAUCCAGCUCUACCAGAAAUUCUAAAAGUCCCACUACUUACCACUGUACAUUCAUUAAGCCAUUGGUCAGGACAAAAUCAGAGCGUUCAUGAACCAGUAUCGGUGAUACUAGUAAGGCCACAAAAAGUACCUACCUCACUUGUCCCACCUGUUAAAAGUAUAAUCCUGAGAUACUUGCCCACGCAGCCCUCUGGGCAUUUCAGUUGCCCAGUGGGCCAUCUGAGGUUUAGCAAAUUGAUUUCGUACAGCUUCCCAUGUCAUGGAUAAAUGUUUUAGUCAAGGUUUGUAUGUUUUUUCACUGGACUGAAGCUUUCUCUUGUAGAUGGGUCAAUGCUUUUUCUGUGGCUAAAAUGCCUGUUUGAAAAGAUUAUCCCUCCUGGGGAACUCAUCUUAAACUUCAUAGUAAUUGAGAAACCCAUUUACUGGUCAGGUACAUUGAUCAGUCUGGGCUGUGUGGCCCAUUUUAUGCUUUCAUUGUGCAUACCACCCUCAAUCUUCAGGGUUAGUUAUACACACUAAUGGCACUAAGACUCAUUGGCAAAGUUUGUAGAGACUCUCCAAAUACCUUGGCCUAAGUUUGUAGAGACUCUCCAUACUACCUUUAGUCCUAAAUCUCAGAUCCACACCCUUUGGAACAUGUAGACUCUCACCCUUUAAGAAGUCUCAGGAUGUCCAGUGCACUUGGCCCCUGCCUCCAUUGAUAAAGGAGCCAUACUUCAAUAUUGUAAAGAUCUAAUUACUUAUAUAUAUUGAAAAUAACCAUGCUUUGAAGAGCAAUCUUUUCACAGUGUGCUUCUGGGAGACAAAGACCUUAAGCAUUACACCUUUGAACCUGGAGAUUUGUCUUUAGAAAAGACAACUCCAGAAAGACUCUCUUCAACCUCACUGGAAAGUUCCUCAUCAGGAACUGCUAACCAACCCUUGUGCCAACAAAUUCCGGGGAAUAGACUCUUGGGAUUCAUGUGACACAUCUGAAGAAAGGACCAGGGCUCUCUUGUUCCCUCCUGGCAUGAGCCAGGAGCUCAUCCUCUCUCUGUAUCUGUCAAUAAAAUCCUCUCUGGCUCUCCUAAAAAAAAAAAGAGAGAAAGAAAGGACCAAACCCUGACUGGAUCUGCACUCCAUCUGGUGACCUGAAAAUAAAGAUUCACUGGAAUCGAAGCAGAUGACAUCGGACGAGAUGGCUUUCCCAAGAUGUCUGGACCAGGCCUGUAUUCUUUUUCUCACUACUUGCAGCUUCUCUUUUGUGGAAAGAAAAUGCUCUGCCUGCAUUUCCCACAACCUUGCAAAUGGAAGACUCUUCUUUUGAUACAGCCUUUUGGAAAUAGCUUCAUCAUGACCACAUGAGCUUUCUGAAGGUCUGAAAGGUUCAGAUUCACAAGUCUUUAUUUCAUCUUAAUUAUUAACUGGCUUUGGAUUCUUAGCCAAAUUCAUAGUCUCUGAAAUUAUCACCUUACAGACUAUGUUUUUGGUAACACAAUUGGCUCCCAACAUUAUUGACAUAACAAUACUAUUUUUAAAUGUCUUUAUGUUUUGCUCUUUUGCAAAAAGUUCAUCAGCUGUUGCGUCAUAUUUAUACCUACACUGUAUCUUCCCAAAUGCACUUGGUUAUUUCUUUCAGGGUGCUCUUACAGUAUACACUAUUCUGCUUUCACAGGCACUUUGAGCAGGGACUGCCAGAAGGCAUACAUGACUGGGUUGGCCUGCACAGGAACUUUUUCCCCCUAAGUCGGGAGGAGUUAGUGUCAAUAAAUACUUCAUUUGGCUUUCAGACCUAGGGUCCUGGUUUAGAACCAACAUGCAAUUUGGAAUUGUCAUAUUACACCUUAUGUUUGUAUAAUUAUUUUAAGUUUUGAAUUUUACUGCCUGUCAAACUUCUGUAAAAAAUUAUGUACUCAGUAAGAAAACGAUGUUCAGUGCUUAUGAUCUUCAUAAAUAAGGACUAUACUUGGGACGUGUCUGUUGAGUUCUCCCUCCUGAUCUUCCUUAUUAAUCAAAUGCGGCCUUAAGUGCUUUCCAGCUGCCACGCAUUUGCCCUCUGAUGCAGGACAUGACAACCAGGAAACGUCCUUCCUGGCACUAAGGAACAAAACCAUUACUCAAAGAAAACCUGACACUUGAUCAGUGGUGUUUUCAGAGAAAGAUCUUGAUCAAAAGGGGAAAUGUGAAAAUUAAUAAAAGGAAAAGUCACCAAAGUGGAGUCUGGAGGUUAGAAGGGGGAGCUACACCACUCUUUGCCAGUUAUAAGAACAACUGUCAAUUACAGACCCCAAAUUAAGAACCUUCAAUAGGAAGGAAUCAUUGAUUACAGGCCCCAACCAGAAAAGAUGCACAUUGCAUCUCCUACAAAAAACUGACUACUUCUAUGACUCAGCCAAUGAAAAACCUCAUCAUCCUGAACUCUUGCUUUUCUCCAGACUUUCCUUCAAAACAACCCCUUCCAAGUUCCUCCUUCUCCAUAACAUAACGUUCUUCUCCUUUGUGUGUUAGGCAUGCCUAUGGUUUUGCUAUAGCUUGCAUGUCUUAAAUUGCAAUUCUCUAUUCCUGAAUAAACCCAUGUGGCUAGUAAAAUAACUUUUAUUUUUAUAAUUAACUACAAAAAAUAUUUAAAAAUAACUGUGGCAAGUUUAUGAAGACACUCAUAUUGUUGGUAGGAGUAUAAGUGAAUACAACCUCAAAGGAGGGCUAACAAUGUCAAAAUGUUGGAAUUUAAAAUAUAGAUAUACUUGCACAUGCAUAAAAUCAGGGAUGUUUGGGUUAUUUCUAAUAGCGAAAGAAAUAUCCCAAAAUAUUCCUCAUUGGAAACAGGCUAAAUAUCCAUCAAUAGGAACUUAAAUACAUUAGGGUGAAGCUAAAGAAUGGAGUAUAAUUUUUUUAAUGGGGGUAAUCCUAUCUCUUGUAUUUUUUUUAAAUUUUGGUAUCAUUAAUCUACAAU